AUCCAUUCAUGAGCCCGCAGGAGCUAUCCUGAGGGCCUGGAGCAGAGGAUAUACAGAUGUAUCCCAGAGGGAAGAGCCCUCUUCUUUCUCUCUCUUUUUUUUUAAAUUCUUUAUUUUUAUUAGAUAUUUUCUUUAUAUACAUUUCAAAUGCUACCCCCCUUCCUGGUUUCCCCUCCUAAAACCCCCUAUCUCCUCCCCCCUCCCCCUGCUCACCAACCCACCCACUCCUGCUUCCUGGCCCUGGCAUUCCCCUAUACUGGGGCAUAGCACCUUCACAGGAUCAAAGGCCUCUCCUCUCAUUGAUGACCAACUAGGCAAUCCUCUGCUACAUAUGCAGCUAGAGCCAUGAGUCCCACCAUGUGUUUUCUUUGGUUGGUGAUUUAUUCCCUGGAAGCUCUGGGGGUACUGCUUGGGUACUGGUCUUGGGUCCUUUCUCUAGCUCCUUCACUGGGGACCUUGUGCUCUGUCCAAUGGAUAGCUGUGAGCAUCCACUACUGUAUUUGGCAGACACUGGUAGAGACUCUCAGGAGACAGCUAUAUCAGGCUCCUGUCAGCAAGCUCUUAGUUCUCUUGUAUUCUAAAAGAGAUUAGGAAGCAGGAAUUGGUAAAGAAAAAUGGAUUUAUUUGUAGUUUGGCCAAACUGGUUCCCCACUGUGCCCAUAACAGCCUUAAAAUUUAAUGCAGACCAUUGGACUAAUGUCAGAAAUGUAUAGAUUUGUUAGUAUUCCCCUGUAGGCUGCCCCUGUUCCCAUCAUAGAGGAUACAAGGGAGACUUUAGAAUUCAGAAGAACUUCUCCAUCCUUCCUGGAUUCCAGUUCCUCUGUGCUUGGACUCCAGCCCAUUCUCUGUCAGCAUGCAAUCAUCCACUCAGGUGUGUUCUGGUUUAUUCAAUGUGGUAAAUGGAGAGAGACCAAGCAUCCAAGUCUGCCUAAGGAACUGUUAGGAAGGGCUGGCAAUGACUAGUCAUAGAACACAAGCUUGUCUGGUCAAGCUUCUCUCUCCCUCCCUCCUUCCCUUUGGUGACCCAUCCCUUUCUUCCUUUCCCUACUUCCUUCUCUCCAUUCUCUCCUCUUUCUUCUUCCCUCCCCUCUUUCUCCCUUCAUUCUUCUCUCUCUUUCUCACCCAACCCUGCUUGUGUAUCUGUGUGUGUGUCUAUGUGUGUGUGUUUGUGUGUGUGUGUUUGUGUGUGUCUGUGUGCUCAUGUGCCAGAGGUCAAUCUUACAUGUUGUUCCUCGUGAACAACCAUCAGAGGAGACAAGCUACCCUACUCAUGUGGAACUCAUGAUUAUCUAGGUUAUGUGGCCAGUAAGCUUCAGGGGUGCUGUGUUUCCACCUCCUCAGUGCUUGGUUUACAAAAACAGGUCAUCGUGCCUCCUGUUUAUAUGGGUACUGCCAAUCAAACUCAGAUCUUCUGCCUAUACAGCAAGCAGUUUUCUUUCCACUGAGUUUUUUCUCACCCCUGAUCGAUUGAUUGAAUGACUGAUUUUUGUGGACACAGGUUUUUCUUUAUUGGUCAGGCUGACCUGGACCUCAUGAUGUAGCCCCGACUGGGCCUUAUCUCUCUGUCUUCAUGCCUGUGCCUCCCGAAUACUAGAAUUAUAAGCACGAGCCACGACUCUGUUAUGGUAAGAUGGGUACAAGAGGCCCAAGUAGAAAUGCUGAGUAGGACAACAGUCAGGGUAAAUGUGAGUGUGGUCAUUUUCAGUGUAGGACUAGUGCUGGGAACCCCGAUUAGAUUCAUUGUUUAGGCAGUGGGAACCAAUAAAACAUCAGGAACCUUCAUGCCCCUCCACAAGCCACCUAAAGAAGAGGAACCAUCCCAGAGACCAGCUGGGAAGCACAUUGAAACCCUACUAUAUAGGAAAGAGAAUAUCUCUGGGAGAAGAUGGCAGGCCAAAAAUACACUAUUGAUCAGGUCACCAACAGUGGUUACUGAACCUGUCUCCUUCUUAAGGAGAGUUCAUUCACCAAGCUCCUUCAAAGGUAACCUAUAUCCACAAGAGAUAUCACAUGAAUGCAGGAGCCAGCAUUAAUAACUUCAGAUGUUAGCUGUGUUCCUACUUUAAUACUGUUAUCCCUAAUGGCCAUGUGUUGACUUCCUGUUGAAGACUGGCUUGGUGCUACAUUAUCCCCUUCUUCUGACCCUAAACCCAGCCUUGUAUGUUUGGCACAUCUUGAGACUGAGGGAGGUAAAGUCUGGAGACAUGCAGUGGAUUGCCUGAGGUCAGAGAAGAAGUGGAAAUUUGUGACCCAGAGGUUUGCAGAGAUGGGAUCUUUACAUCUGUGGAGCUCCCCCUGUAGGUAGGGACAGCAACAAGGAGGUUGUUCUCAGGGCUCCCCUUCCUGGGCUCGAUGCCUUCUACUUGUCCUGGUGGCAUCACAAAUUUUCUGCAGACGCUUAUGAAUUUGUCUGAGGCAUGAGAUCAGGAUGGCAGUGACUGUACUAAACAUGAUCUGUGCUCUGUAUGUAAAGUGUAUAGUGGUGCAGAAGUGAACUUUACAAGUGAGAAAUGGUGAGUGGUCUUGGUUUCUGAAACUCAAGAAGAACGAAGACCAAAGUGUGGACACUUUGCCCCUUCUUAGAAUUGGGAACAAAACACCCAUGGAAGGAGUUACAGAGACAAAGUUUGGAGCUGUGUCGAAAGGAUGGACCAUCUAGAGACUGCCAUAUCCGGGGAUCCAUCCCAUAAUCAGCUUCCAAACGCUGACACCAUUACAUACACUAGCAAGAUUUUGUUGAAAGGACCCAGAUGUAGCUGUCUCUUGUGAGACUAUGCUGGGGCCUAGCAAACACAGAAGUGGAUGCUCACAGUCAGCUAUUGGAUGCACCACAGGGCCCCCAACGGAGGAGCUAGAGAAAGUACCCAAGGAGCUAAAGAGAUUUGCAACCCUGUAGGUGGAACAACAAUAUGAACUAACCAGUAUCCUGGAGCUCCUGUCUCUAGCUGCAUAUGAAUCAGAAAAUGGCCUAGUUGUCCAUCAAUGGAAAGAAAGGCCCAUUAGUCAUGCAAACUUUAUAUGCCUCAGUACAGGGGAACGACAGGGCCAAGAAGUGGGAGUGGGUGGGUGGGGGAGUGGGUGGGGGAGCAUGCGGGACACUUUUAGGAUUGCAUUGGAAAUGUAAAUGUAAUAAAUACCCAAUUU
rnacentral:lncRNA from 1 species